rnacentral:rRNA from 1 species
UCAUUCAAAGAGUGCGUAAUAGCUCACUGGUCGAGUGAUCCUGCGCCGAAGAUUUCCGGGGCUAAAACUUACUACCGAAGCUACGGCAUCAGUAAUGAUGGGUAGGGGAGCUUCCCAUACGGGUUGAAGCAUGACCGUAAGGACAUGUGGACAGUAUGGGAGUGAGAAUGUUGGCAUGAGUAGCGAGAUGUGGGUGAGAAUCCCACAGGCCGUAAACCCAAGGUUUCCAGGGGAAGGUUCGUCCGCCCUGGGUUAGUCGGGACCUAAGCUGAGGCCGAAAGGCGUAGGUGAUGGACAACAGGUUGAUAUUCCUGUACUACCGAUAACCGUUUGAGAGAAGGGAUGACACAGUAGGAUAAGCUAAGCACACUGUUGGUUAUGUGUGCCCAAGCAUUGAGGCAGUCAAAGCAGGCAAAUCCGCUUUGAUAAUGCUGGGAUGUGAUGGGGAGCGAAAUUUAGUAGCGAAGUAGCUGAUUUCACACUGUCAAGAAAAGUCUCUAUCGAGGUUAAAGGUACCCGUACCGCAAACCGACACAGGUGGGUGAGGAGAGUAUCCUAAGGCCAGCGAGAGAACUGUUGUUAAGGAACUCGGCAAAAUGACCCCGUAACUUAGGGAUAAGGGGUGCCACCAUCCGGUGGCCGCAGAGAAUAGGCCCAAGCGACUGUUUACCAAAAACAUAGGUUUCUGCUAAGUCGCAAGACGAUGUAUAGGAGCUGACGCCUGCCCGGUGCUGGAAGGUUAAGGGGAUCUGUUAGAGCAAUCGAAGCAGUGAACUUAAGCCCCAGUAAACGGCGGCCGUAACUAUAACGGUCCUAAGGUAGCGAAAUUCCUUGUCGGGUAAGUUCCGACCCGCACGAAAGGCGUAACGAUUUGGGCACUGUCUCAACAACAGACUCGGUGAAAUUGUAAUUCCGGUGAAGAUGCCGGAUACCUGCGACAGGACGGAAAGACCCCAUGGAGCUUUACUGUAGCUUGACAUUGGGUCUUGGUACUACAUGUACAGGAUAGGUGGGAGGCUUUGAAACCAGGACGCCAGUUUUGGCGGAGCCAUCCUUGGGAUACCACCCUUGUAGUACUGGGACUCUAACCAUAGGCCAUGAAUCUGGUCUUGGGACACUGUCAGGUGGGCAGUUUGACUGGGGCGGUCGCCUCCCAAAAGGUAACGGAGGCGCUCAAAGGUUCUCUCAGUACGGUCGGAAAUCGUACGUAGAGUGUAAAGGCAAAAGAGAGCUUGAUUGCAAGACAUACAGGUCGAGCAAGGAUGAAAAUCGGACUUAGUGAUCCGGUGGUUCUGCGUGGAAGGGCCAUCGCUCAACGGAUAAAAGCUACCCUGGGGAUAACAGGCUUAUCUCCCCCAAGAGUCCACAUCGACGGGGAGGUUUGGCACCUCGAUGUCGGCUCAUCACAUCCUGGGGCUGUAGUAGGUCCCAAGGGUUGGGCUGUUCGCCCAUUAAAGUGGUACGCGAGCUGGGUUCAGAACGUCGUGAGACAGUUCGGUCCCUAUCCGUCGCAGGCGUAGGAAAUUUGAGAAGACCUGUCCUUAGUACGAGAGGACCGGGAUGGACGUACCUCUGGUGUACCAGUUGUUCUGCCAAGGGCAUGGCUGGGUAGCUAUGUACGGAAUGGAUAAGCGCUGAAAGCAUCUAAGCGCGAAGCCAACUUCAAGAUAAGAUUUCCCACCGCAAGGGUAAGACCCCAGAAAGACUAUCUGGUUGAUAGGUCGAAGGUGUAAGUGCAGCAAUGUAUUUAGCUUAUCGAUACUAAUAGGUCGAGGACUUGACCAA